GACGAACGCUGGCGGCGUGCUUAACACAUGCAAGUCGAACGAGACGAUUUAGAAGCUUGCUUUUAUUGAGUCGAGUGGCAAACGGGUGAGUAACGCGUAGACAACCUGCCGCAAAGAUGGGGACAACAGUCCGAAAGGACUGCUAAUACCGAAUGUUGUGUAUCCUCCGCAUGGAGGACGCAUUAAAGAUGGGCCUCUACUUGUAAGCUAUCGCUUUGCGAUGGGUCUGCGUCUGAUUAGCUAGUUGGUGGGGCAACGGGCCUUACCAAGGCGACGAUCAGUAGCCGGGUCUGAGAGGAUGAACGGCCACAUUGGAACUGAGACACGGUCCAGGACU
rnacentral:rRNA from 1 species